rnacentral:rRNA from 1 species
UGAGGAAUAUUGGACAAUGGGCGCAAGCCUGAUCCAGCCAUGCCGCGUGCAGGAUGACGGUCCUAUGGAUUGUAAACUGCUUUUAUACGAGAAGAAACACUCCUUCGUGAGGGAGCUUGACGGUAUCGUAAGAAUAAGGAUCGGCUAACUCCGUG